rnacentral:rRNA from 1 species
AACGCGAAGAACCUUACCAGGGCUUGACAUGGGGAGGGCCGGUACAGAGAUGUACUUUUCCCGCAAGGGACCUCCUGCACAGGUGCUGCAUGGCUGUCGUCAGCUCGUGUCGUGAGAUGUUGGGUUAAGUCCCGCAACGAGCGCAACCCUCGCCUUUAGUUGCCAUCAUUUAGUUGGGCACUCUAAAGGAACUGCCGGUGACAAGCCGGAGGAAGGUGGGGAUGACGUCAAGUCCUCAUGGCCUUUAUGUCCAGGGCUACACACGUGCUACAAUGGCCGGUACAAACCGCCGCAAACCCGCGAGGGGGAGCUAAUCGGAAAAAGCCGGCCUCAGUUCGGAUUGGAGUCUGCAACUCGACUCCAUGAAGCUGGAAUCGCUAGUAAUCGCGGAUCAGAACGCCGCGGUGAAUACGUUCCCGGGCCUUGUACACACCGCUCGCGA